rnacentral:rRNA from 1 species
CGAGCGGACAGAAGGGAGCUUGCUCCCGGAUGUUAGCGGCGGACGGGUGAGUAACACGUGGGUAACCUGCCUGUAAGACUGGGAUAACUCCGGGAAACCGGAGCUAAUACCGGAUAGUUCCUUGAACCGCAUGGUUCAAGGAUGAAAGACGGUUUCGGCUGUCACUUACAGAUGGACCCGCGGCGCAUUAGCUAGUUGGUGAGGUAACGGCUCACCAAGGCGACGAUGCGUAGCCGACCUGAGAGGGUGAUCGGCCACACUGGGACUGAGACACGGCCCAGACUCCUACGGGAGGCAGCAGUAGGGAAUCUUCCGCAAUGGACGAAAGUCUGACGGAGCAACGCCGCGUGAGUGAUGAAGGUUUUCGGAUCGUAAAGCUCUGUUGUUAGGGAAGAACAAGUGCAAGAGUAACUGCUUGCACCUUGACGGUACCUAACCAGAAAGCCACGGCUAACUACGUGCCAGCAGCCGCGGUAAUACGUAGGUGGCAAGCGUUGUCCGGAAUUAUUGGGCGUAAAGGGCUCGCAGGCGGUUUCUUAAGUCUGAUGUGAAAGCCCCCGGCUCAACCGGGGAGGGUCAUUGGAAACUGGGAAACUUGAGUGCAGAAGAGGAGAGUGGAAUUCCACGUGUAGCGGUGAAAUGCGUAGAGAUGUGGAGGAACACCAGUGGCGAAGGCGACUCUCUGGUCUGUAACUGACGCUGAGGAGCGAAAGCGUGGGGAGCGAACAGGAUUAGAUACCCUGGUAGUCCACGCCGUAAACGAUGAGUGCUAAGUGUUAGGGGGUUUCCGCCCCUUAGUGCUGCAGCUAACGCAUUAAGCACUCCGCCUGGGGAGUACGGUCGCAAGACUGAAACUCAAAGGAAUUGACGGGGGCCCGCACAAGCGGUGGAGCAUGUGGUUUAAUUCGAAGCAACGCGAAGAACCUUACCAGGUCUUGACAUCCUCUGACAACCCUAGAGAUAGGGCUUUCCCUUCGGGGACAGAGUGACAGGUGGUGCAUGGUUGUCGUCAGCUCGUGUCGUGAGAUGUUGGGUUAAGUCCCGCAACGAGCGCAACCCUUGAUCUUAGUUGCCAGCAUUCAGUUGGGCACUCUAAGGUGACUGCCGGUGACAAACCGGAGGAAGGUGGGGAUGACGUCAAAUCAUCAUGCCCCUUAUGACCUGGGCUACACACGUGCUACAAUGGACAGAACAAAGGGCUGCGAGACCGCAAGGUUUAGCCAAUCCCACAAAUCUGUUCUCAGUUCGGAUCGCAGUCUGCAACUCGACUGCGUGAAGCUGGAAUCGCUAGUAAUCGCGGAUCAGCAUGCCGCGGUGAAUACGUUCCC